rnacentral:ncRNA from 1 species
GCAAAUGCAACGAUAGGGAGUAGUACUAAGGAAUCCUCAUUCAGAGAGACAGCGGUUGGUGAAAGCUGUUGGGGGGGACUUCAGGAACUCGCCCUGGAGCUGUGUUCAGGUUGCAAUGAACACCGGUGCGAGCCGUUAACAUCGUUUGAGCAUAGUUAAAAUUGGGUGGUACCACGGGAGCAAGCCUCUCGUCCCUUUA